UUUUUGAACUGCAGGACACAUGAANAUCGACAUUUCGAACGCACAUUGCGGUCCACGGAUACGAUUCCGGGACCACGCCUGGCUGAGGGUC
rnacentral:rRNA from 1 species